rnacentral:rRNA from 1 species
AUUCAAUAAGCGGAGGAAAAGAAACCAACAGGGAUUGCCUCAGUAACGGCGAGUGAAGCGGCAAAAGCUCAAAUUUGAAAUCUAGCACCUUCGGUGUUCGAGUUGUAAUUUGAAGAUGGUAACCUUGGGUUUGGCUCUUGUCUAUGUUCCUUGGAACAGGACGUCAUAGAGGGUGAGAAUCCCGUCUGAUGAGAUGCCCAUUCCUAUGUAAGGUGCUAUCGAAGAGUCGAGUUGUUUGGGAAUGCAGCUCUAAGUGGGUGGUAAAUUCCAUCUAAAGCUAAAUAUUGGCGAGAGACCGAUAGCGAACAAGUACAGUGAUGGAAAGAUGAAAAGAACUUUGAAAAGAGAGUGAAAAAGUACGUGAAAUUGUUGAAAGGGAAGGGCAUUAGAUCAGACUUGGUGUUUUACGAUUAUCUUCUCUUCUUGAGUUGUGCACUCGUAUUUCACUGGGCCAGCAUCGAUUCGGAUGGCAAGAUAAUGGCAGUUGAAUGUGGCUUCACUUCGGUGGAGUGUUAUAGCUUCUGCUGAUAUUGCCUGUCUGGAUCGAGGGCUGCGUCUUUUGACUAGGAUGCUGGCGUAAUGAUCUAAUGCCGCCCGUCUUGAAACACGGACCAAGGAGUCUAACGUCUA